rnacentral:tRNA from 1 species
UCCGUGGCGGUCUAGUGGUUAGGACUUGGCACUUUCACUGCCAGGGCCCAGGUUCAGUCCCUGGCCGAGGAA